rnacentral:rRNA from 1 species
UACAGAGGGUGCUAGCGUUGUUCGGAAUUAUUGGGCGUAAAGCGCGUGUAGGCGGCCAAGUAAGUCGGGUGUGAAAGCCCUCGGCUUAACCGAGGAAGUGCGCCCGAAACUGCUUGGCUUGAGUACCGGAGAGGGUGGCGGAAUUCCCGGUGUAGAGGUGAAAUUCGUAGAUAUCGGGAGGAACACCAGUGGCGAAGGCG